rnacentral:rRNA from 1 species
UACGGAGGGAGCGAGCGUUGUCCGAAGUUACUGGGCGUAAAGCGCGCGUAGGCGGGGGAUUAAGUGAGAAGUGAAAGGCUGAGGCUCAACCUCAUGCAGUGCUUCUCAUACUGGUCCUCUUGAGGGUGGUAGAGAGAAGUGGAAUGGCUGGUGUAGCGGUGAAAUGCGUAGAUAUUGGGAGGAACAUCGGAGGCGAAGGCGGCCAUUUGGGAAGGUACUGACGCUGAGGCGCGAAAGCGUGGGGAUCAAACAGG